rnacentral:lncRNA from 1 species
AACAGAGCGGGGCGCUUCCACGCCGCGGCCACACCAUACGGGCUGAAAGACUCCGCGUCCCCAGCACGCCAGCCGGGAGAAGGCGCGGUGCUUCCCUUUGGGCGUCGUGCCACGCUCGCUCUUUGCGAAGCGCGGCGCUCCCUUCUCCAUAGCGUGUGCGCGCGGGGAGGCGAGACCCCCUUCAGCUUCCGCAGCCCUACUCGGGGCUCCUCGUUUCCUCCGCCGCCUACUGUAGGACCGCGCGGAGCCACCGCUGCGCCCUGCCCGGACUUCCCGUGCCACUUCCAGGUCUGCGCUCUUAAAGGGGCCGCCCCGCGUGCGGAACAAAGGCCAUUGUUGUCGUCGCCGCUCCGUUCACCGCCUUCCACCCGUUCGCCGGGUUCUCCGCCCACGCCGGCGCGUCUCAACGGCCCUCCCGCGCCGCCUCCCCCCGGCGGAGCGGCGCAGAACGCAGCGCGCCGGCCCCAGCCGCGCCGCGCCCGCCCAGGCCCCUUCCUCUCGGCUGUCCUUCAGCGCCAGGGCGCACGCGGGCGGCUGCCGUUCACGGCCGUUUCGCGCCGCGGCGGCACCUUUAAGGGGCGGGGCCGGCUGCCGGGAACUCACGUCACUUUCGGGCCCCCGAAACUCCGGCUUCAUGGGCGGGGCGCGGCCGGCCGGGCCCGCGCCGCCUUUCGGUUUCUCUUCCAGGAAGGAAAACACUGGUGGGCAGCGGGGGCCGCGGCGGCAGCGCCCGCCCUUUCCCUCCCUCCCCCCGCCUCGCGCUCUCCCCCCUGCCCCGCGCACACGCGCGCUCACACACGCGCGGUCCCGCACACGCGCGCACACGGCCACGCGCGGCGGGGGGCGGCAGCUUCCGAGCGCCCCCCGGAGCGCGGCGGCGGGGAGGGGAUCCCGGGCAGCUCCGCGGGCCGCGGUGGCGGCCGCAACUUCCUCCUGAGGGGCCGGCGGGGGAGCGGGAGGUGGGAAGAGCCCCAGAAGUUCCCGGCCGCCCGCUGGGCUGCGCGGACCUCCUCCUGA